rnacentral:rRNA from 1 species
UACGAAGGGGGCUAGCGUUGUUCGGAAUUACUGGGCGUAAAGCGCGCGCAGGCGGUCUUCCAAGUCAGUGGUGAAAGCCCGGAGCUCAACUCCGGAACUGCCAUUGAAACUGAAGAUCUUGAGUUCGGGAGAGGUGAGUGGAACUGCGAGUGCAGAGGUGAAAUUCGUAGAUAUUCGCAAGAACACCAGUGGCGAAGGCGGCUCACUGGCCCGAUACUGACGCUGAGGCACGAAAGCGUGGGGAGCAAACAGG